rnacentral:rRNA from 1 species
AUGGAGAUCAUUGAGAUUUCGGGUACAUAUCUACUCGGAGGUAUAUUAGAUAAGCUCGACCUUCCAGCACCGCGCUAUCACUCUCAGACACAUCGAAGGGGCCAGUUUGUGACUGAUGUUACAUUUUAUCCCUCGAAAGAGCAUCUGCGACACCCGCCUACACCGGUCCAGCUCUCGAGCUCUCCCCUGCAUAACUUUCAAAACACAAUAGAUGUAGUUUCUCAAAAGGCAAUACACUAUAUGGAAGAUAACCAAAGCAAGGUUUUGCAAGACUACAACUAUAUUGAAUUGAAAAGAUCAGAGGAGGCCAACUUACAGCUUACUGACUUACUAGCUGAGAAAGAUGAAACGAUCAAAGGGCUAGCAAUGACCACUGGUAACUACAUAGGUGCUGUCCUUUCAAUCUGUGAUCGAAUAUCUUCCUUGGCUGUAUCUGAGUCACUUCCAACUGGGCCCGCGCUAGCCGUUGAGUUGGCUAGGAAGAUUUCAGAAGUUGAGCGUGCUGUUGCUCGGCUGAGCAAGCUUUCACAUGACGCCCUUCAGCUCCUCAGGGUUGCAUUUGGUUAUCCAGAGGAACAAAAUGAUGGUGACUCGGAUGCCCACAUCCUCGACCUUUAG